rnacentral:rRNA from 1 species
CAGCUAGCUGGUGGGGUAAGAGCUCACCAGGGCGACGAUCGGUAACUGGUCUGAGAGGACGAUCAGCCACACUGGGAUUGAGAACGGCCCAGACUCCUACGGGGGGCAGCAGUGAGGAAUUUUCGUCAAUGGGGGCAACCCUGAACGAGCAACGCCGCGUGCAGGAAGAAGGUUUUCGGAUCGUAAACUGCUUUUCUCGGGGACGAGUACGGACGGUACCCGAGGAAUCAGCCCCGGCUAACUACGUGCCAGCGGCCGCGGUAAUACGUAGGGGGCGAGCGUUGUCCGGAGUUACUGGGCGUAAAGCGCACGCAGGCGGUUCUUUCAGUUCAACGUGACAGUCGUCGGCUCAACUGACGAAGGACGGGGAAGACGGGAGAACUUGAGGGCUUCAGAGGGACACGGAAUUCCGGGUGGAGUGGUGAAAUGCGUAGAUAUCCGGAGGAACACCAACAGCGAAGGCAGUGUCCUGGGAAGUCGCUGACGCUCAGGUGCGAAAGCCAGGGGAGCGAACGGGAUUAGAUACCCCGGUAGUCCUGGCCGUAAACGAUGACCACCAGGCGUGGGGGGUAUCGACCCCCUCCGUGCCGGAGCUAACGCGGUAAGUGGUCCGCCUGGGGAGUAC